rnacentral:rRNA from 1 species
GUANACGUUNGGCGCUAGGUGUGGGAUCCAUUCCACUGGGUUCCGUGCCGCAGCUAACGCAUUAAGCGCCCCGCCUGGGGAGUACGGCCGCAAGGCUAAAACUCAAAGGNAUUGACGGGGGCCCGCACAAGCGGCGGAGCAUGCGGAUUAAUUCGAUGCAACGCGAAGAACCUUACCUGGGUUUGACAUACGCCGGAAACAUCCAGAGAUGGGUGCCCUUUUUGUCGGUGUACAGGUGGUGCAUGGCUGUCGUCAGCUCGUGUCGUGAGAUGUUGGGUUAAGUCCCGCAACGAGCGCAACCCUCGUUCUAUGUUGCCAGCACGCCCUUCGGGGUGGUGGGGACUCAUAGGAGACUGCCGGGGUCAACUCGGAGGAAGGUGGGGAUGACGUCAAGUCAUCAUGCCCCUUAUGUCCAGGGCUUCACGCAUGCUACAAUGGCCGGUACAAAGGGCUGCGAUGCUGUAAGGCGGAGCGAAUCCCAAAAAGCCGGUCUCAGUUCGGAUUGGGGUCUGCAACUCGACCCCAUGAAGUCGGAGUCGCUAGUAAUCGCAGAUCAGCAACGCUGCGGUGAAUACGUUCCCGGGCCUUGUACACACCGCCCGUCGCGUCACGAAAGUCGGCAACACCNGAAGCCGGUGGGCCCAACCNUUGUGGGGGGGAGCCGUUCGAAGGUG